AUAUAUCAACCUCUUCAAGUUUUUGCUUGUUAGAGUGUUGGAUGUGGGGGUAUUCUUUGUUGGCUUCUAUGAAGUCAGCUCCCCUCAAAUGUAUUAGCAGAAUAAUUUGUUGAUCCUGUUCAUUGGUGUGAUAAUUAUCUACGCUAUUGACGGGGAAAGCAGUUCAGCUUCUAAUAGUCCAUUGACUUGGACAAAUUUUUCAUUA
rnacentral:misc_RNA from 1 species